rnacentral:miRNA from 1 species
ACACAAGUCACCAGGCAUCCUGAUAAAAUGCAGACUUUGAUCCAUGAGGUCUGAGGCGGGGCUUGAGAUUCUGCAUUUCUCAUAAGCUCCCAGGAAACACCAGU